UACUUCUUGGUGUAUGAUGCACGGGAUUUUUUGAUGUUCCUGGAACAGUUUAAUUCUGUAAGAGGUAA
rnacentral:tRNA from 1 species